rnacentral:rRNA from 1 species
UAGGGAAUCUUCGGCAAUGGGGGGAACCCUGACCGAGCAACGCCGCGUGAGUGAAGAAGGUUUUCGGAUCGUAAAGCUCUGUUGUUAAGGAAGAACGAGUGUGAGAAUGGAAAGUUCAUACUGUGACGGUACUUAACCAGAAAGGGACGGCUAACUACGUGCCAGCAGCCGCGGUAAUACGUAGGUCCCGAGCGUUGUCCGGAUUUAUUGGGCGUAAAGCGAGCGCAGGCGGUUAGAUAAGUCUGAAGUUAAAGGCAGUGGCUCAACCAUUGUAGGCUUUGGAAACUGUUUAACUUGAGUGCAGAAGGGGAGAGUGGAAUUCCAUGUGUAGCGGUGAAAUGCGUAGAUAUAUGGAGGAACACCGGUGGCGAAAGCGGCUCUCUGGUCUGUAACUGACGCUGAGGCACGAAAGCGUGGGGAGCGAACAGG